CCGCCCGAAGGCCGGGGAGCCAUGUUGGUCCAGCGGAAAAAGCCCACAAAAACGGGUGGGCUAUAGCCUUGGGGGGUGGGGCUGGCCAACUUUGUCCGCCGGACUCGGAAUGGAGCGAGAGUUUACGAAGCUCCUCCGUGUGCCAAAAAUACGCCGCGGGCACAGCCGCGCCCAAAAAUCACCGCCCGAAGGCCGGGGCGCCAAAUUCGUCCAGCGGAAAAAGGCCACAAAAACGGGUGGGCUAUAGCCUUGGGGGGUGGGGCUGGCCAACUUCGUCCGCCGGACUCGGAAUGGCGCGAGACUUUGCGAGGCGCCUCCGUGUGCCAAAAAUAGGCCGCGGGCAUAGCCGCGCCCAAAAAUAACAGCCCGAAGGCCGGGGCGCCAAGUUCAUCCAGCGGAAAAGCCCACAAAAACCGGUGGGCUAUAGCCUUGGGGGGUGGGGCUGCCCAACUUCGUCCGCCGGACUCGGAAUGGUGCGAGGCUUUGCGACGCACCUCCGUGCGCCAAAAAUAGGCCGCGGACACAGCCGCGCCCAAAAAUAACCGCCCGAAGGCCGGGGCGCCAAGUUCGUCCAGCGGAAAAAGCCCACAAAAACGGGUGGGCUAUAGCCUUGGGGGGUGGGGCUGCCCAACUUCGUCCGCCGGACUCGGAAUGGUGCGAGACUUUGCGACGCACCUCCGUGCGCCAAAAAUAGGCCGCGGGCACAGCCGCGCGCAAAAAUAACCGCCCGAAGGCCGGGGCGCCAAGUUCGUCCAGCGGAAAAAGGCCACAAAAACGGGUGGGCUAUAGCCUUGGGGGGUGGGGCUGGCCAACUUCGUCCGCCGGACUCGAAAUGGUGCGAGACUUUACGAGGCGCCUCCGUGCACCAAAAAUAGGCCGCGGGCACAGCCGCGCCCAAAAAUAACCGCCCGAAGGCCGGGGAGCCAUGUUCGUCCAGCGGAAAAAGCCCACAAAAACGGGUGGGCUAU
rnacentral:lncRNA from 1 species